rnacentral:rRNA from 1 species
UACGUAGGGUGCGAGCGUUAAUCGGAAUUACUGGGCGUAAAGCGUGCGCAGGCGGUUCGUUGUGUCCGAUGUGAAAGCCCCGGGCUCAACCUCGAGACGUCGGCGGAAACCAUCUGGCUAGAGUCCGGAAGAGGAGAGUGGAAUUCCUGGUGUAGCGGUGAAAUGCGCAGAUAUCAGGAAGAACACCCGUGGCGAAGGCGGCUCUCUGGGACGGUACUGACGCUGAGACGCGAAAGCGUGGGGAGCGAACAGG